GCCAGAGCUGUGCCUGAAAUUAGCUGAUCUGGAAUAUCUCAUCUCAGUGGCAUCAUACAGAGCCAAGACCAGAAAAUAAAGAAGCUACGUAAGGCGAGGAGAGGACCCAAAUGCAGGACACUGAGGCGGAAAAAAUAUCCAGUGAGCAGCAGUUCUUGAUGUCAGAAGUCAGAGGAAAAUGGCCAGACUGCCUUAGGCUGAUAAGAAGAGGGAGAGGCCUUACCUUGAAGAAGAUAAUGAUGGCGCUGACGAGCACGCUGAUGCUCUGGAGAAGAUCUCCCAACACGUGCACAAAAGCUGCUCGCACACUUGCGUUGGCCUGCUGAGCUCUCCGUCCUGGCAG